UACGGGGGGGGCAAGCGUUGUUCGGAAUUACUGGGCGUAAAGGGCGCGUAGGCGGUUUGCUAAGUUGAAUGUGAAAACUCUGGGCUUAACCCAGAGCCUGCAUUCAAUACUGGCAGGCUAGAGUUCUGGAGGGGAUAGCGGAAUUCCUGGUGUAGCGGUGAAAUGCGUAGAUAUCUGGAGGAACACCGGUGGCGAAGGCGGCAUCCUGGACCGGCAUUGACGCUGAGGCGCGAAAGCCAGGGGAGCAAACGGG
rnacentral:rRNA from 1 species